rnacentral:rRNA from 1 species
GACGAACGCUGGCGGCGUGCUUAACACAUGCAAGUCGAACGGUGACCCAUCUUCGGAUGGUGAACAGUGGCGAACGGGUGAGUAACACGUGAGUAACCUGCCCUUCACUUCAGGAUAACUCCGGGAAACCGGUGCUAAUACUGGAUACGACUCCUGCCUGCAUGGGUGGGGGUGGAAAGAUUUAUCGGUGGUGGAUGGACUCGCGGCCUAUAAGAUUGUUGGUGGGGUAAUGGCCUACCAAGGCGACGAACGGUAGCCGGCCUGAGAGGGUGACCGGCCACACUGGGACUGAGACACGGCCCAGACUCCUACGGGAGGCAGCAGUGGGGAAUAUUGCACAAUGGGCGAAAGCCUGAUGCAGCGACGCCGCGUGCGGGAUGACGGCCUUCGGGUUGUAAACCGCUUUCAGCUCUGACGAAGCUUUUGUGACGGUAGGAGCAGAAGAAGCACCGGCUAACUACGUGCCAGCCGCCGCCGUAACAC